GCCUANUACAUGCAAGUCGAACGAACUUCCGUUAAUUGAUUAUGACGUACUUGUACUGAUUGAGAUUUUAACACGAAGUGAGUGGCGAACGGGUGAGUAACACGUGGGUAACCUGCCCAGAAGUAGGGGAUAACACCUGGAAACAGAUGCUAAUACCGUAUAACAGAGAAAACCGCAUGGUUUUCUUUUAAAAGAUGGCUCUGCUAUCACUUCUGGAUGGACCCGCGGCGUAUUAGCUAGUUGGUGAGGUAAAGGCUCACCAAGGCAGUGAUACGUAGCCGACCUGAGAGGGUAAUCGGCCACAUUGGGACUGAGACACGGCCCAGACUCCUACGGGAGGCAGCAGUAGGGAAUCUUCCACAAUGGACGCAAGUCUGAUGGAGCAACGCCGCGUGAGUGAAGAAGGGUUUCGGCUCGUAAAGCUCUGUUGUUAAAGAAGAACGUGGGUAAGAGUAACUGUUUACCCAGUGACGGUAUUUAACCAGAAAGCCACGGCUAACUACGUGCCAGCAGCCGCGGUAAUACGUAGGUGGCAAGCGUUAUCCGGAUUUAUUGGGCGUAAAGCGAGCGCAGGCGGUCUUUUAAGUCUAAUGUGAAAGCCUUCGGCUCAACCGAAGAAGUGCAUUGGAAACUGGGAGACUUGAGUGCAGAAGAGGACAGUGGAACUCCAUGUGUAGCGGUGAAAUGCGUAGAUAUAUGGAAGAACACCAGUGGCGAAGGCGGCUGUCUGGUCUGCAACUGACGCUGAGGCUCGAAAGCAUGGGUAGCGAACAGGAUUAGAUACCCUGGUAGUCCAUGCCCGUAAACGAUGAUUACUAGUGUUGGAGGGUUUCCGCCCUUCAGUUGCUGCAGCUAACGCAUUAAGUAAUCCGCCUGGGGAGUACGACCGCAAGGUUGAAACUCCAAAAAAUUGA
rnacentral:rRNA from 1 species